UCCAGCUGUUUUGGGACUACAGUUCCCAUCAUCCCUGACCACUGGUCCUGUUAGCUAGGGAUGAUGGGCGUCGUAGUCCCAAAACAGCUGGA